GACGAACGCUGGCGGCGUGCUUAACACAUGCAAGUCGAGCGAUGAAGCUUUCUUCGGAAAGCGGAUUAGCGGCGGACGGGUGAGUAACACGUGGGUAACCUGCCUCAUAGAGGGGAAUAGCCUUUCGAAAGGAAGAUUAACACCGCAUAAGAUUGUAGUAUCGCAUGGUACAGCAAUUAAAGGAGUAAUCCGCUAUGAGAUGGACCCGCGUCGCAUUAGCUAGUUGGUGAGGUAACGGCUCACCAAGGCGACGAUGCGUAGCCGACCUGAGAGGGUGAUCGGCCAAAUUGGGACUGAGACACGGCCCAGACUCCUACGGGAGGCAGCAGUGGGGAAUAUUGCACAAUGGGGGAAACCCUGAUGCAGCAACGCCGCGUGAGUGAUGACGGUCUUCGGAUUGUAAAGCUCUGUCUUUAGGGACGAUAAUGACGGUACCUAAGGAGGAAGCCACGGCUAACUACGUGCCAGCCGCCGCCGUAA
rnacentral:rRNA from 1 species